GCCAGCAAGCUUCGUGUCCGGGGUGCUUUCUGUCCAUCUUUCCAUGGUCACUGGCCAUCAUCCCCCAAGUGUCCCGAUCCCCUGCUUCAUUUCCCGGCUAGAACCUAGGGCCGCUGCUUUUCUCCAGUUUUUUUUUUCUCUCGUUGCUCUUUUUUUUUUUCUGAUCCUGUGAUUAAAACCACCCCUGCCGGCCCUCGAAUCGCCAUCCUCGGACCACAGAGGAAGGAUAUCCGCGUACUGUCCGUAGAGGGAGAGAGAGAGAGAGAGAGAUUAUUCCAUAGCAAUAGCGUACAGUACAUCCCUCCGUAGCGUGAUUAUACUGCUUGCCUGCACCAAUCUCCAUCCAGGAAAUUGAAUCCUCCUCCGCCGUUUGAUCUCGCCUGCCUGGGCACGUCCUGUGUACUUGCGACUUCUUUGUACACUGCACAUCAACGACUGACUGCUGGCGCUGCUGGCGCUGCUGCAACGAGCUGCGAGUCUGCGAGUCUGCGACCUGCGACUGCUACGGACUCCACAGCUAGCUGGCUAGCUCGUGACCUGUUACUUCGUGGGCCAGCUUCCAUCGCUACCCCAUCGCCUGCUUUGGUGGUUCAGACCUCAUUCUGGAUGUAGCGUAUGAGUCCCCUCUGACCUUGAUCCAUCCCAGUGGUACCGCUAAGGACUGGCUAAGGACUGGCUAAGGACUGGCCGCUGCGACUCCCGGCUUGCUCUAGCGUCCUCCACUGCUAUCUCGCGCUAGUUUUUGCUCUCGCUCUCUCUUUUUUUCUCGCGCUCGCGUUGCUUGUGUCCGUGUGUCUUGUCGGAUUCUGAUCUGUGUGCAUCCGUCCCCAUCCCCAUCCCCAUCCCC
rnacentral:sRNA from 2 species